AUUGAACGCUGGCGGCAUGCCUAACACAUGCAAGUCGAACGGCAGCGCGUUAGGGGGUAACCUUUAAUGGCGGCGAGUGGCGUACGGGUGAGUAAUGCGUAGGAAUCUAUAAUAGAGUCGAGGAUAACCUGUGGAAACAUAGGAUAAUACUGGAUAAUCCUUAUCAAAGGUAAAGCUGGGGACCUUUUGGCCUGGCGCUCUAUGGUGAGCUUACGUUAGAUUAGCUAGUUGGUAGGGUAAAGGCCUACCAAGGCUGAGAUCUAUAGCUGUUCUGAGAGGAAGAACAGCCACACUGGGACUGAGACACGGCCCAGACUCUUACGGGAGGCAGCAGUGGGGAAUAUUGGACAAUGGGCGAAAGCCUGAUCCAGCAAUGCCGCGUGUGUGAAGAAGGCC
rnacentral:rRNA from 1 species